rnacentral:lncRNA from 1 species
AGGUAGCCAGACAAGCAAUAUACAUAAAGGGUACAACUGAAGGAAACAAAACGCUUCACGUACGUAAGGUUCAAAUAUCCUCAUACAAAUUAUUCUGACACAAUAGAUGUCCCAUCCCCAAAAAUAUAAGAGCAGAUCCAAGUGAACAUUGAGAUGAACACAGCCAAACACAUAUCCCUAAAGAAACAAAACAUGCACAUAAACCAUUAACACUUCCCACUAGUAAUGUUCAUGAUGAUUACCGAAGUCAGAAUGUCUCCUGCUCUAUUAAGGAAUACUACGUAAGCAGACAACAAAUGAAUUGUCUUAUAUAACAAUUAACAAAGGACAGCUUUGAGUGGACUAUAAACUUUAAUUAAAAGCAGGAAGUAUACUUUUUGGUUAUUUUUGAGGUGUCGCAAAUCCUUUUAUCAUUAUAAUGUAAAU